CUCCACACCUCCUGGUCUCUGGGGAACCUUGCUGCUCAACUUUCUUUUUUAAUUGACUUGUUUGCGUUUAAGAUAUGCAACCGCUAUCUUGGUCCUGUUGAGUUACGUCACUUUCGGAUGACCGGGCCCCGGUUUGUUAUGUGAAAUCAAUCAGUUGACCAUCUAUUUGUUCGGUUUGAAGAACAGAUAACUGCAUUUAGGCAAGAGAAAUAUGAGAAAGAAGAAGCUGAUUCAUUUCCACACCCAAGAAAGUGUUGAUUCAGAAUUGGAAUCAUUUCCAUAAUGGGGGGCCCAACAGGAAGAAGCACGGCAGAAGUUCAACCAACACAUGUGAGAAGGUCAACUCAGGUUGUCGUCGUGACUACACUUCCUGACCCAACCAGUUACCCCCGCUUUUACUUUCUACAGAGCACAGACAUUUCAUAACCGGGAAAACCGAUUUGGCCCUGAGACUCCGUGGUCCCUGUGACAACCGCGUGGGAACCGAGGUGGAUGGCAGCCAAGCACACACAUCUGGAAGGAUCCAUCCCAGAGGUCAAAGGUUAAUGGCAAACACUCUGAGAGCCUGGCAAAAGGCCAGGGAAACCAGGGUUUCAUUCAAAAUACUUAUCCUCUUUGUCACCAUGGUGAUUGGCACUCAUUUGUCAUAACUUUAAUAACUGUAUUUAUUCAAUUAAAACAAGCACUAGUGGUUGGACAUGCCAUUUUUUGGAGCUUUCAGAUUCCUGAUGUGUUAUAUCUUAUAUUUUAUUUUGAAAUGACACAUUGUAUUUGGAAACCUAUUAAUGUGGAAUAAGCUUUCCAAUAUCACAAGGCUCAUGAGCCCGAUGUUAUACUGCUGAAGUGAAUCACAUCUUCUAGGAACGGACAUCAAUCUGUCCUCAAAUCCUUACAUCAAUAUAAUUUCCUCCUUGAAAUAACGAUAAAGAAAUCCUCCAGGUGUAGGGAAGGAAAAUGAAGAAUCUCAUGCCUGCAUUUUUCUUAAACCAUUUAGGAAAUGGUCUCAUGUCAGUUAUGGUAUAAAUCUAUUCUCUCCAAGGAUUUUCUUUUUUUAAUGAUUCCACUCAUCUAUUUGAGAUUUGAUCCCCUCACUUUUAAAAUUCUAUGUGCCUGUAUUAAUUGAUGUAAGAAAUUUGGUCACAGCCAUGACUUUGUAUGAUGUCUACUGUACAGCAGAAAGAAUGGUAUUGUUUAUCAAACAUGUAUUUAUCAGAUAAAUGACGAUGACCAUCGCGUUAUCCUUAUGCCGUUUGAAUGUUAUGUAGGCAUUUUCUUUAUCGGGCUGUUCUGCCGGGCCCAUGUCCCAUUUUGUUCAAUAAAAUGGGCAAUGAUAUCCAUAUGUUCCAUGUUCUAGGGACUCAAGGUUGAAGAUAAGCUUUAUCCCCUCCCAAGUAAUGCAAUAAUUUUUUUUAAAAAUGCUUAUUAGCCUGGAGAAAGGUGCGAUGUUGUUUACAUUUUUAAACCAGUGUAUUUUUUCAUUUAUUUUGGUAGAAAUAUCUUUCUAUCUGUCUAUCUAUCUGUCUAUCUGUCUAUCUGUCUAUCUGUCUAUCUAUCUAUCUAUCUAUCUAUCUAUCUAUCUAUCUAUCUAUCUAUCUAUCUAUCUAUCUAUCUAUCAAUCUAUCAAUCUAUCAAUCAAUCUAUCUAUCUAUCAGUUAUUACAUAGUAUUGUACGUAACAUGUGGCCUUAUAACCCAGUUCUGCCAUAUACAGUAAUUCCUUCUUAUUUGUUAUUUGUUGUGUUUUCUUUCAGGAGUUUAUUGAGGCCGCUGCCAUCACAGAGCCCAUCCCUCCACCUCAAGCACCUCUUCUGAAUUGGUAGCCCUAAGCCACCCAAUCCCCAGGAAGAUAGAAAGAUUAACCAUCGACUGAUGGUUUAAAAUUGUUGAUGCCUUUUUGUAAUGUGCAAUAUUAUUUCCAUUAAAUCACUGGUUCUUGUUUGUAUGAUA